CCUACGGGUGGCAGCAGUGAGGAAUAUUGGUCAAUGGUCGCGAGCCUGAACCAGCCAAGUAGCGUGAAGGAUGACUGCCCUGCGGGUUGUAAACUUCUUUUGUAAAGGAAUAAAGUGUGGCACGUGUCCCUGUUUGUGUGUACUUUAUGAAUAAGGAUCGGCUAACUCCGUGCCAGCAGCCGCGGUAAUACGGAGGAUCCGAGCGUUAUCCGGAUUUAUUGGGUUUAAAGGGAGCGUAGAUGGUUUGUUAAGUCAGUUGUGAAAGGUUGCGGCUCAACCGUGAGACUGCAAUUGAUACUGGCAGUCUUGAGUAGAGUUGAGGUAGGCGGAAUUCGUGGUGUAGCGGUGAAAUGCUUAGAUAUCACGAAGAACUCCGAUUGCGAAGGCAGCUUACUAAACUGCCACUGACAUUGAUGCUCGAAAGUGUGGGUAUCAAACAGGAUUAGAUACCCGAGUAGUC
rnacentral:rRNA from 1 species